AGAACUUGAUCUUGGUUCAGGAUGAACGCUGGCGGCAUGCCUAACACAUGCAAGUCGAACGGAGUUUUCGGUAGCUUGCUACUGAGAACUUAGUGGCGGACGGGUGAGUAACGCGUGAGUAACCUGCCUCUAAGAGGGGGAUAACGUUCUGAAAAGAACGCUAAUACCGCAUAUAAUUACGAAAUCGCAUGAUUUUUGUAAUGAAAGGAGCAAUCCGCUUAGAGAUGGACUCGCGUCUGAUUAGCUGGAUGGUGAGGUAACGGCUCACCAUGGCGACGAUCAGUAGCCGGACUGAGAGGUUGAACGGCCACAUUGGGACUGAGACACGGCCCAGACUCCUACGGGAGGCAGCAGUGGGGGAUAUUGCGCAAUGGGGGAAACCCUGAACCGCAGCAAUGCCGCGUGAAGGAUGAAGGUUUUCGGAUUGUAAACUUCUUUUGUUAAGGACGAUAAUGACGGUACUUAACGAAUAAGCUCCGGCUAACUAUGUGCCAGCAGCAGC
rnacentral:rRNA from 1 species